rnacentral:rRNA from 1 species
GACGAACGCUGGCGGCGCGCUUAACACAUGCAAGUCGAACGGAAAGGCCUGCUUUCCCUUGUGGAUUGCGGGUACUCGAGUGGCGAACGGGUGAGUAACACGUGAGUGAUCUGCCCCCAACUUGGGUAUAAGCCUGGGAAACUGGGUCUAAUUCCCGAUAGGACUGCAGGGUGGAGCCUGUGGUGGAAAACGAUUUUCUAGUGGUUGGGGAUGAGCUCGCGGCCUAUCAGCUUGUUGGUGGGGUAAUGGCCUACCAAGGCGGCGACGGGUAGCCGGCCUGAGAGGGUGGACGGCCACAUUGGGACUGAGAUACAGCCCAGACUCCUACGGGAGGCAGCAGUGGGGAAUAUUGCACAAUGGGCGGAAGCCUGAUGCAGCGACGCCGCGUGGGGGAUGACGGCCUUCGGGUUGUAAACUCCUUUCGACCGCGAGGAAGCCACCUGGUUGGAAGGGUGGUGACGGUAGUGGUAGAAGAAGCACCGGCUAACUACGUG